AAACUGCGAUAAGUAGCGUGAAUUGCAGACGCUUUGAACGUUAAACUUUCGAACGCACAUUGCGCCGUAGGAGUCCUACCCUACGGCACAUCUGGUUGAGGGUCGUGAUCAAAAACAGCCGCACAGUAGCUGGAAUAGAACGAAUUGGUGAAUCACGAGUUCGGCCCACCCGUACUCGGGCCGUACGUGUUUUGCCAUAGUGCUAUAGAGGAUGACCGCGAGAGCUCUUCGGAGUUUUCGGUUGCCUGCCACGCGGACGGGCUAUCAGCUGAUGCGAUAGAUUCCGGCCUUAGGGUAUCAUACUACGCUUUCGUAUAUACUCUUGGGCGUCUGGAAUACAGCUGGUUGGUUUCGUACGUGCUUGGUAAAUGUAUUGAAUCGCUUUCCCGACCUCAACUCA
rnacentral:misc_RNA from 1 species